UACGUAGGGUGCGAGCGUUAAUCGGAAUUACUGGGCGUAAAGCGUGCGCAGGCGGUCCGCUGUGUCUGCGGUGAAAGCCCCGGGCUCAACCUCGGAACUGCGUCUGAAACUACUCGACUAGAGUACUGGAGAGGGUAACGGAAUUCACGGUGUAGCAGUGAAAUGCGUAGAUAUCGUGAGGAACACCAGAGGCGAAGGCGGUUACCUGGACAGUUACUGACGCUCAGGCACGAAAGCAUGGGGAGCAAAAGGG
rnacentral:rRNA from 1 species